AGGAAUUUAAAGUGUGUGUAAUCAGAUAUCCAUUAAUUAAAACUAUUUAAGUGAGUGCCUAUAUUUGAGUAUCCACAGUACCCUACCAAAAAUCUUUACGCUACUUUUUCAAGCCUUUUACAUAUGAGAGAAAGAAGCAGACAAAUAACUAAUCUUAAGACAGUGUGACAAGUGCUAUAAAAGGAAUGUAAAUAGUAAUAUUAGAUCAGAGAGUAAAGGUACAUUACCUCCCCUCCGUGGAAAGAUCCAGAAGGCCUCCCUAGAAGGUGAUACUUAAUCUAAUGUUUGAUGUUUUUAUUUAACCAUUAACCAGAAUGGGUUGAAAAAGGGUGAAGGUUAUUCUUGGAAGCAAAGCUAUUUAACCCAAAGUCAUGCAACAGAAGAACCCAACUUCUCAGAGAGCUGUAAAUAUCCAGCUUGGGCAAAAUCUUUUUCCCUUGAAGACUGGAAAUAUUAUCCAUGUUGUCCUCCGGAAUAUUUUCAAUGACUUGUGCCCUGCCAGCUCUAGCUUUUGAAGGGUCUACACUCAUCAUCAACAGCCUCAAAGGAAAUCCGAAUCCUAAGGCAUCAUUAAAACAGGAUCCCAAAUCUCCAUAGCAGAGGAGAGAUGAGACACUGAAGCAGUUUAAAGAUCGGGUUUUCAAUGCGUGACAUAUAACUGUCCAUUUUCAGGCUGGAAAAAUGAAUGGCUUUCUAGGAGGCAUACUGUUCAACUCACCUUUACAACUUUCAAUCACUGUGGCUGAAAUAGAGUCAUGAAAGACAAGAUGUUGAUAAUACUUACAAGAGAAAGAAGAAAUAAAAUCCCUACUUUACGUCUACUUCCUGUAACCAGAUCUGAAAACCUCAGUGACCUCUGUGGAUUAAGCUGUAUUUAUAAUUGUGGAAAUUAGACACGGUGAUGAAACACUGGUUCUUCCAUUUUCCAGAGGCUGUUUUAACACCACAUGAGUGGGGUGUCUAAUUUUUCUGACCUUUGGUUAUUUUAUUCAUACAAGCCAUGCUCACCAAAUGCCUUACUGUGUUAACUAGAAUGGCUUCAGUUAAAUAGCAACAGUGGAGAAAAAAAUAAAUUAAUGCCUCUUCUCAGCAGUGACCUGACAUUACACUUCCUGCCUUUUCUAAACUCUCCUGUAAAAUAUAUACAAUAUUAAAAUUUAAAAUCCUGACAUUUAUAAUUCUUCUAGUAAUUUGUUUCUUUCUUCUGGCAGCUUAAUCACUGCGGGCCUGGAUUUUCUCACUUGUAAAAUAAAGGAAUUAUGUCAAAUAAUAUCCGAGGGUUUUUUAAAAUAAAAAUGUCCAUAAUACUACUUAAGUUUAUACUGGGAUUGAACAAAUAUGUAAAUAUAAUGUGGACAAUGAAAGUUGGGUUUUUCACUUUUGGAGAAAAAAAGUUACAAAUAAGGAAAGGGGGGAGAAUAGAAUGAACUGUGUGGUAUGGUAUUAAAACUAAAGGUAUUAGUAUGAA
rnacentral:lncRNA from 1 species